AGCGAACGCUGGCGGCAGGCCUAACACAUGCAAGUCGAGCGCCGUAGCAAUACGGAGCGGCAGACGGGAGAGUAACACGUGGGAACGUGCCCUUGGUUCGGAACAACCCAGGGAAACUUGGGCUAAUACCGGAUAAGCCCUUACGGGGAAAGAUUUAUCGCCGAAGGAUCGGCCCGCGUCUGAUUAGCUAGUUGGUGGGGUAAUGGCCCACCAAGGCGACGAUCAGUAGCUGGUCUGAGAGGAUGAUCAGCCUCACUGGGACUGAGACACGGCCCAGACUCCUACGGGAGGCAGCAGUGGGGAAUAUUGGACAAUGGGCGCAAGCCUGAUCCAGCCAUGCCGCGUGGGUGACGAAGGCCCUAGGGUUGUAAAGCCCUUUCGGCGGGGAAGAUAAUGACGGUACCCGCAGAAGAAGCCCCGGCUAACUUCGUGCCAGCCGCCGCGGUAA
rnacentral:rRNA from 1 species